AUGGUAGAAAAUAAUGUUCAAAGGCUAUUUUCUGGUAAAAAGAUUCUAAUCAUCUUAGAUGACCUGUGGGAGAUGGAAGCAGAAAAGUUAGAAAGGUUGAAGACUAUGCUAGAACUGGGUGAAGGGAGCAAUGUGGUGGCGGUAGUAACCACACGAGAAGAAUAUAUUGCACAGAAAAUUCAGACAUUGGAGCCAUACAAGUUAACUCCCUUGGGAGAUGACAUUUGCUGGACCAUCAUAAAAGAUAAAACUUCCUUUGAUGCUAGAACUAACAACGCGCAAUUAGAGCUGAUCGGGAAGGACAUUGCAAAGAAGUGUGGAGGUAUGGCUUUAGCAGCCCAAUCUAUUGGGUAUAUGUUGUACUCUAUGAAGUCAGUUGAUCAAUGGGUGUCGGUGAACAACAGUGAGUUCUGGCACGUGCUUGCCUCAGAAGAAUCUUCAUCUCAUCAGGUGCAUGCAUCAUUGCUGCUAAGCUAUCGUAGUAUGGGUUCAUACUUGAAGCUAUGCUUUGGCUAUUGUGCAGUCUUUCCAAAAGGUCACAAGAUAUCUAAAGAAGAACUAGUUCACCAAUGGAUUGCUCUUGGACUUGUUAAGCCAUCAAAGACAUUUUCUGAUAUACAGACCAGUGAAAGUUAUAUUAACCACCUUUUAGGCAUGUCCUUCCUUGGACAUCCAAAGUCACAAGUGACUAUGGACGUCCUAACUGAAUUCUUCAUCAUGCAUGACCUGGUGUAUGAUCUUGCAAGAUCAGUCGUGGCUGAUGAAAUUGACAUAGAGAGUCCUACCUGCCGAUAUGCUUGGCUGACAGAUGGGAGAAAGCUAUUUAAUUCAUCAGAGACUCCACUCUCGAAGAUAAGGGCACUGCAUUUUCAUGAUCCUGGCGACUUUCAGCUUCAUGGUGAUUUUUCACCAGCUAAAUGCCUCCGUGUCUUAGAUUUAAGAAGAUGGUGUACACGAGAGUUGCCCGAUUCUAUUGGUCAACUGAGACAGUUGAGGUAUCUCGAUGCUUCAUGGUAUUUCAGGUCGCUGGAGUCUAUAAGGAUUCCCAAAGCUCUGGGUGCCCUUACCAAACUCCAAUACUUGAAUUUAUCAGAUCGCGGAACACCCAUAGGGUUGCCAGAGGUCAUCAGCAAACUCACGGAACUCCGGUACUUAAAUAUAUCGUCCUGCAGGGGUUAUUAUUCAUUGGACAACCCGUCAGCGAAUCAAAGUUUCAUAGACUGUAUCGGUACUCUUCCCAAUCUGGAGCACUUGGACUUGUCUCGCAAUGACUAUGGUUUUAGUGUACCUGAAAGUUUUAGCAGCCUCAAAAAACUAAACCUUGAAAAAUGCACGCGCAUUUCUAGCCUUCCAGAAAAUGUGGGGAAACUGGAUAUUCAGAACCUUUUUGGCUUGUUGAAACUGGGAAGACAAGGGUUUUAUGUGCGUGCCGAUGACAGUGAAUCCAGCAGCAGUCUUGUCUGGCUUAAGCAUACAAAUCCUGAUGAGUUGAGUAUCGUCGGUCUUGAAAAUGUGAAGUCCGUAGAAGAGGCACGCAUUAUAAGGUUGAUGGAGAAACACAAUAUUGAAAAACUGACAUUGAACUGGAGGGAAGGUGUUAGUUCUGUGGGACACAUGGUGUUGCUAACAGAGCUAGUGCCACCACCCAGUGUAAAGGAUUUGAUGAUAGUAGGUUACAAGGGUGUCAUCUUUCCACACUGGUUAAUGCCUAUGAGCAGAUAUCUUCCUAAUCUUGUGAGUUUGGUGUUGUGGAAUCUGCCAUGCAGAAGCCUACCAAGAUUCGCCCAACUACCCAACCUACGGAGUAUUGUUCUCGGCAACAUGUAUAACCUGAAAGAAUUUGACACAUCAUGCCCUAUGGGUGAGGACGGUGCGAAUGAGUUCACGUUGCCUAAACUGGAGUAUUUGAAACUGGACAACUGCCCCAAGUUGAUGAUUAAGCGAUGUCCGCCUAGAGCUGUGUUCAUGUUUAUAUCAAGAGGUAAAAAUGUGCUAUCGUCAUGCGGAAAUUGUGCCGCAAGCACAGUUGCUUCCUCCUCUUCCCCUCCUGUGAGUAAACUGAAAGUUGAAUACUCGGAGUUGCCUUUGCGGCAGUGGAGAUUGCUUCACCACCUUCCUGGCCUUAGUGACGUAAGUAUCACCCAUUGCGAUGAUCUGACUAUCUCACCACAGAUCAGCCAAGCCUUCGUCUCCCUUGAAUCACUCUCCCUAGAAUCCAUUAGCCUGAAAUGUUUGCCAGAAUGGGUCGGUGAACUCCCAUCUCUUCGGCAGUUGAGCUUAAUAUACAUGAACUGCCUACAGGAAUUGGACAAGAACCUGAAGCAACUUACACAGUUGCAAUCGCUGAGUCUGGAUAUGUGCAAUGCAUUGACAUCACUACCGCAAUGGUUAGGAGAACUCACCUUGCUCAAGACGCUUAAGAUCAGAACUUGUGAGAGCAUCACCUCUUUACCGGAGAGCAUACUCACCAACCUCCAAGAACUACGUAUUCAGUGCUGCCCUCAACUAGAUGAAUGGUGUAAGUUGAAGGAGAAUCAGAUGAAACUAGCUCACAUCAAGGAAAUGUUUUUCUACUGA
rnacentral:rRNA from 1 species